GCGAUUACAACUUUGGAGCACAGCGGUUAGUAAGAAAUUAUCAAAGGGUAAAAACUUCACUGACCUCCCCGAGGAACCUGACAAUAACAAAUGCCUCCCCCAAUUUUCUGAAAUGACAAGGACCUCCCUUGUCACUUGUCAGUCCUGUCCUUUGUGUUUAACGACGUUAACAGAGACAAUAACAGAUACCUCCCCCAAUUUUCUGAAAUGACAAGGACCUCCCUUGUCACUUGUCAGUCCUGUCCUUUUGUGUUUAACGACGUUAACAGAUUAUUCAUAAUAACUGUACUACCCUCUUGCUUGCCGAUUUGCUACAACCACAAACACUUGUACACUUUCAAACUCUCUCACAUUAAAUAUGAGCCCCCACACACUGUGUGUGGAGGGGCCUAUAAUAAUGUUAAAGAGUUAAUUUGGGUAUUUGAAUGUAUAAUGUGUUUUGUAAUUAUAGGACUUAUUGCUUGCUAAAAAUGCCUUAUUUUUAGGUUUUUUUUUUUUCCCCUGGAUAACAAUACCCUUGCUCUGUUGGGAACACAGGGAAAAGAGGAAAAAAAAGAAGAGAUGAGAAAAUGAUUAUGUGAGAUCCCACAUCCAUAGUCUUACAUCGGUGGGUAGAGGAAAUUAAGAGUAAUAUAUAGCGAAACGUCCACCAACUACUUUUAACCUUAGGUUAACCUUUUAAGCUACGUAUUUAGGCUAAGGGUUGACAAGUCAGUUGAUGCGCGUUGUUAUAGAUUAUGAGUGAAAUGCAAGGAAAAGUUAAAGAAAGUGUGAGAAAAUUUGGUUGAGCAAAAUACAGGAGUAAUAAUUCAAUGUCGUCCUUGGAUACACUGACACCUCCACGUCGUGCCCUAGGCCUCUUCUUCAUCACAUUUGUGAUCCACACAUUUUGUCUUAGGUUCUGCCACUAUCUACUGUCUACGUUACCCAUUUACAAUUUGUUCGUCCAAAGAAAUAGAAUGUACUUGAUGCAGCAACUCUAGUAAAAAAAUAAAGUAAUGGGAGGUAAAAAAAUGUUAAACUCACAUUUAACAUGUUAUCAUCUCUUCUAAGUAGGUUCCCAACAAAACUUUUCAGACCCCUAUUAAUUAGAGUGUCAUCUAGCUCUAAUGUUUUUUCGAAGUCAAAGUCAUUCUUUAACAUGUUAUUAUUUGACAAUGUUGCUCCAAUAGCAGUAGAGAAAUAUAAUUUUGGCCUUUAGUUGGCCCCAUCAUCAGAGAGAUGAUUUACCAAAAAAAAAAAAUCAUCAUCAGAGAGGGGCACAAGAAGUUAGCCAGGCUCGAGGCAGAUCACGUGCUAAGAAAUUAAUUUGGCACAAGAUUUGCAAAGCCCUAACUUAGAAAGGGAAUUGAUAUAGGGCUAGAGAUAACUUUCUUGGAUAAUCUAAACAAAUUGUAGAUUUGGCAGGAGGAAUGGCUUGAAAUUGGAGAUGUUGUCAUGAGAAGAACACAUACUAGUACCAAUGUACUACUACUCGCAAUCAAAUGCAUUAGAGAAAGUUUUCCGUAACCACCGAAUUUUGUGGUCAUUAAUACAACCGAAUGAAUUAUCUAUGAGUAAUGCUACAGAUACAAAUAGAGGGACAUAUGAGGACACAAAUGUGUGUGAAGUCAAUACAUACAUGAGUCUCACACGAUUGAUGCACCCGAAGCUCUCACACAUUGAGCGGUUCUGGACACCUUUGUAUCCGAAUCUAUAUAUGUUCCUUUGUCCAACAUGCCCUUCUUUAUCCAGAUCCUCUAAAAACUCAAAACAUGCUGGACAUCACCAAGUGAGUGCUACGGUACACCGAAGAAUACUAUGAUUACCAUUGCCAUUGCCGAAACCCAAGCAAU